GGUACUUUACCGAGACUCGCGACUGUCCCGCCGGGUCGCCCUUACAAGGCGAAUGUCGGCGGUUCGAGUCCGUCAGCACCCACCA
rnacentral:tRNA from 1 species